rnacentral:tRNA from 1 species
AUUUAUAUAGUUUAUAAAAACAUUACAUUUUCAUUGUAAAAUUAAGAAACUGAUCUUUAUAAAUA